rnacentral:SRP_RNA from 1 species
GAAGGCUGGUGGCGGACGAACUCCUCGCCAACCUGGUCAGGUCCGGAAGGAAGCAGCCACAACGAGUUCCGGUUCGGGUC